rnacentral:rRNA from 1 species
UACGUACCGUCCAAACGUUAUUCGGAUUUACUGGGCUUAAAGGGUGCGUAGGCGGCUCAGAAAGUAGGGUGUGAAAGCCCUCGGCUCAACCGAGGAAUUGCGCCCUAAACUACUGGGCUUGAGGAACGCAGAGGUAAGCGGAACUUAGGGUGGAGCGGUGAAAUGCGUUGAUAUCCUAAGGAACACCAGGAGCGAAAGCGGCUUACUGGGCGUUUUCUGACGCUGAGGCACGAAAGCUAGGGGAGCGAACGGG